GACGAACGCUGGCGGCGUGCUUAACACAUGCAAGUCGAGCGAUGAAGCACCUUCGGGUGUGAAUUAGCGGCGAACGGGUGAGGAACACGUGAGAAAUCUGCCUUCAACACUGGGAUAACUCCGGGAAACCGGGCGUAAUACCGGAUAUGAAACCUGCGGGCGAUCCGCGGGUUCGGAAAGUUUUCGGUUGAAGAUGAUCUCGCGGCCUAUCAGCUUGUUGGUGAGGUAAUGGCUCACCAAGGCGACGACGGGUAGCCGGCCUGAGAGGGCGACCGGCCACACUGGGACUGAGACACGGCCCAGACUCCUACGGGAGGCAGCAGUGGGGAAUAUUGGGCGAAUGGAGGAAACUCUGACCCAGCGACGUUUUUUUUUCCGCGNGCGGGA
rnacentral:rRNA from 1 species